UGAGUAUCUGAGGGGGCAUUAGAUCCUCUGAGAGACUCUCAGAAAUGCCCUGUGGUGGUCUGUGCUCCCUCUGAGAAAAGACAAUUCA